rnacentral:rRNA from 1 species
UACGUAGGGUGCAAGCGUUGUCCGGAAUUAUUGGGCGUAAAGAGCUCGUAGGCGGUUUGUCGCGUCUGCUGUGAAAACCCGAGGCUCAACCUCGCGCCUGCAGUGGGUACGGGCAGACUGGAGUGCGGUAGGGGAGAUUGGAAUUCCUGGUGUAGCGGUGGAAUGCGCAGAUAUCAGGAGGAACACCGAUGGCGAAGGCAGAUCUCUGGGCCGUAACUGACGCUGAGGAGCGAAAGCGUGGGGAGCGAACAGG